rnacentral:rRNA from 1 species
CCUACGGGAGGCUGCAGUGAGGAAUAUUGGUCAAUGGACGAGAGUCUGAACCAGCCAAGUAGCGUGAAGGAUGACUGUUCUAUGGGUUGUAAACUUCUUUUAUAUGGAAAUAAAAUGUUUCACGUGUCGGUUUUUGUAUGUACCAUAUGAAUAAGGAUCGGCUAACUCAGUGCCAGCAGCCGCGGUCAUACGGAGGGUCCGAGCGUUAUCCGGAUUUAUUGGGUUUAAAGGGAGCGUAGGUGGAUUGUUAAGUCAGUUGUGAAAGUCUGCGGCUCAACCGUAGAAGGGCAGUUGAAACUGGCAGUCUUGAGUACAGUAGAGGUGGGCGGAAUUCGUGGUGUAGCGGUGAAAUGCUUAGAUAUCACGAAGAACUCCGAUUGCGAAGGCAGUUCACUGGACUGCAACUGACACUGAGGUUCGAAAGUGUGGGUAGCAAACAGGAUUAGAUACCCCUGUAGUC